UACAGAGGAGCCAAGCGUUGUCCGGAUUGACUGGGCGUAAAGCGCACGCAGGCGGUCGCGCGCGUGGGGUGUGAAAUCUGGCCGCUUAACGGCCAGGCGCCAUCCCAUACGGCACGACUGGAGUGAUGCAGAGGUCGGUGGAAUUGCCGGUGUAGUGGUGAAAUGCGUAGAGAUCGGGAGGAACACCAGUGGCGAAGGCGGCUCGCUGGGCCGGACCUGACGCUGAGGCGCGAAGGCGUGGGGAGCGAACGGG
rnacentral:rRNA from 1 species